rnacentral:rRNA from 1 species
ACGUUAGCGGCGGACGGGUGAGUAACACGUGGGUAACCUACCUAUAAGACUGGGAUAACUUCGGGAAAUCGGAGCUAAUACCGGAUAAUAUUUCGAACCGCAUGGUUCGAUAGUGAAAGAUGGUUUUGCUAUCACUUAUAGAUGGACCCGCGCCGUAUUAGCUAGUUGGUAAGGUAACGGCUUACCAAGGCGACGAUACGUAGCCGACCUGAGAGGGUGAUCGGCCACACUGGAACUGAGACACGGUCCAGACUCCUACGGGAGGCAGCAGAC